UGAUGCUGAAACAUACUGAUUAUUCUUCGCAUAUGGAAAAUGUGUGUGUGAACUACACUUGAAUAAUUAAAUAAGAUUAUGUGGCCCACUUGUAAUUCUUCGCUGCAGAUGUAUAUAACAAUGUUCAAUGAUUCAAUCUUGAAUCUAGUUCGAGCCGUACAAAGUAACAGUCACACAAGCCAAUUGAUAGUUUAAUUAAGUUCUAUAUAUGGCUUUGACGGGCUUUGACACCAAGUCACUGCCUAGCGGGUGCACUUAAGAUAUCAAUGAGAGAUAUCCAUGAUGAAUUAUAUUACAAAUAAGCUUUAUAGGCAUAGGAGCAAAUAACCUGCUAAGAAGUAUCUUGCUACAGACAUCAUAAACACAUGCAUGAAUCAGGAUGAUAAUACUAAAGCUCAGAUAUACUGCAGACACUGAACAUACAGGGGCAGAACUAGGGGGUGGCGAAGGGGGGCUGGAGCCCCGGCUAGAAGAAAAAAAGAACAGUAAAUUUUUUUUUCCAGCCCCGAAUGUUCUCUAAAAAUGAUAUAAAAAAUUUUUUUGAGCCCCGGGUAAGUUUCAAAAAUAUUUGUAUUAACUGAUAUUUUUCCUUCAAUCAAAUGUUGUUAAAAAUUUGAGUUCCAAAUAUUUUUUGAGCCCCGGGUGAUUUGAUCUCCUGGUUCCGCCACUGUGAACAUACCGCCAUGACUGUACAUUCAAAUUU
rnacentral:lncRNA from 1 species